GACGAACGCUGGCGGCGUGCUUAACACAUGCAAGUCGAACGGUGAAGCUCCAGCUUGCUGGAGUGGAUCAGUGGCGAACGGGUGAGUAACACGUGAGCAACCUGCCCCAGACUCUGGAAUAAGCGCUGGAAACGGCGUCUAAUACUGGAUACGAGAUCAAGCCGCAUGGUUAUGGUCUGGAAAGUUUUUCGGUUUGGGAUGGGCUCGCGGCCUAUCAGCUUGUUGGUGAGGUAAUGGCUCACCAAGGCGACGACGGGUAGCCGGCCUGAGAGGGCGACCGGCCACACUGGGACUGAGACACGGCCCAGACUCCUACGGGAGGCAGCAGUGGGGAAUAUUGCACAAUGGGCGAAAGCCUGAUGCAGCGACGCCGCGUGAGGGAUGACGGCCUUCGGGUUGUAAACCUCUUUCAGCAGGGAAGAAGCGAAAGUGACGGUAUCUGCAGAAGAAGCACCGGCUAACUACGUG
rnacentral:rRNA from 1 species